AGCGAACGCUGGCGGCAGGCUUAACACAUGCAAGUCGAGCGCCCCGCCAGUGGUGCGGCAGACUGGAGGGUAACCCGUGGGGACAUACCUUUUUGUUCGGCACAACUUAGGGAAACUUCAGCUAAUACCGGAUAAGCCCUUACGCGGGAAGAUUUAUCGCCGAAAGAUUUGGCCGCGUCUGAUUUGCUUCUUGGUGGGGUAACGGCACACCAAGGCGACGAUCAGUAGCUGGGAUGAGAGGAGGAUAAGCUUCACUGGGAAUGAGACACGGCCCAGACUCGUAGGGGAGGGAGCAGUGGGGAAUAUUGGACAAGGGGGGCAAACCUGAGCCAGCCAUGUCGCGGGAGUGAUGAAGGCCGUAGGGUUGUAAAGCUGUUUUGGACGGGAAGAUAAUGACGGUACCGGGAGAAGAAGCCCCGGCUAACUUCGUG
rnacentral:rRNA from 1 species